rnacentral:rRNA from 1 species
CCUACGGGAGGCAGCAGUGAGGAAUUUUGGUCAAUGGACGCAAGUCUGAACCAGCCAUGCCGCGUGCAGGAAGACGGCUCUAUGAGCUGUAAACUGCUUUUGUACGAGGGUAAACGCAGAUACGCGUCUCUUUCUGAAAGUAUCGUACGAAUAAGGAUCGGCUAACUCCGUGCCAGCAGCGGCGGUAAUACGGAGGAUUCAAGCGUUAUCCGGAUUUAUUGGGUUUAAAGGGUGCGUAGGCGGUCGGAUAAGUUAGAGGUGAAAUCCCGAGGCUCAACUUCGGAAUUGCCUCUGAUACUGGUCGGCUAGAGAGUAGUUGCGGUAGGCGGAAUGUAUGGUGUAGCGGUGAAAUGCUUAGAGAUCAUACAGAACACCGAUUGCGAAGGCAGCUUACCAAGCUACUUCUGACGUUGAGGCACGAAAGCGUGGGGAGCAAACAGGAUUAGAUACCCUUGUAGUC